rnacentral:rRNA from 1 species
AUGGGGUGACUGCGUACCUUUUGUAUAAUGGGUCAGCGACUUAUAUUCUGUAGCGAGGUUAACCGUAUAGGGGAGCCGUAGGGAAACCGAGUCUUAACUGGGCGAAUGAGUUGCAGGGUAUAGACCCGAAACCCGGUGAUCUAUCCAUGGGCAGGUUGAAGGUUGGGUAACACUAACUGGAGGACCGAACCGACUAAUGUUGAAAAAUUAGCGGAUGACUUGUGGAUGGGGGUGAAAGGCCAAUCAAACCGGGAGAUAGCUGGUUCUCCCCGAAAGCUAUUUAGGUAGCGCCUCGUGAACUCAUCUUCGGGGGUAGAGCACUGUUUCGACUAGGGGGUCAUCCCGACUUACCAACUCGAUGCAAACUGCGAAUACCGAAGAAUGUUAUCACGGGAGACACACGGCGGGUGCUAACGUCCGUCGUGAAGAGGGAAACAACCCAGACCGCCAGCUAAGGUCCCAAAGUCAUGGUUAAGUGGGAAACGAAGUGGGAAGGCUCAGACAGCCAGGAUGUUGGCUUAGAAGCAGCCAUCAUUUAAAGAAAGCGUAAUAGCUCACUGGUCGAGUCGGCCCGCGCGGAAGAUGUAACGGGGCUAAACCAUGCACCGAAGCUGCGGCAGCGACACAUAGUGUUGUUGGGUAGGGGAGCGUUCUGUAAGCCUGCGAAGGUGUACUGUGAGGUAUGCUGGAGGUAUCAGAAGUGCGAAUGCUGACAUAAGUAACGAUAAUGCGGGUGAAAAACCCGCACGCCGGAAGACCAAGGGUUCCUGUCCAACGUUAAUCGGGGCAGGGUGAGUCGACCCCUAAGGCGAGGCUGAAAAGCGUAGUCGAUGGGAAACGGGUUAAUAUUCCCGUACUGGUGGUAACUGCGAUGGGGGAACGGAGAAGGCUAGGUUGUCCGGGCGACGGUCGUCCCGGUUCAAGCAGGUAGGCAGAGUGAUUAGGCAAAUCCGGUCACUUAAUGCUGAGAUGUGAUGACGAACCACCAAGGUGGUGAAGCAAUUGAUGCCCCGCUUCCAGGAAAAGCCUCUAAGCUUCAGGUUACCAACAAUCGUACCCCAAACCGACACAGGUGGUCAGGUAGAGAAUACUCAGGCGCUUGAGAGAACUCGGGUGAAGGAACUAGGCAAAAUGGUGCCGUAACUUCGGGAGAAGGCACGCUGGCGGUAGGUAAAGUCCCUCGCGGACGGCGCCCAAGCCAGUCGAAGAUACCAGCUGGCUGCAACUGUUUAUUAAAAACACAGCACUGUGCAAACACGAAAGUGGACGUAUACGGUGUGACGCCUGCCCGGUGCUGGAAGGUUAAUUGAUGGGGUUAGCGCAAGCGAAGCUCCUGAUCGAAGCCCCAGUAAACGGCGGCCGUAACUAUAACGGUCCUAAGGUAGCGAAAUUCCUUGUCGGGUAAGUUCCGACCUGCACGAAUGGCGUAAUGAUGGCCAGGCUGUCUCCACCCGAGACUCAGUGAAAUUGAACUCGCUGUGAAGAUGCAGUGUACCCGCGGCAAGACGGAAAGACCCCGUGAACCUUUACUAUAGCUUGACACUGAACAUUGAGCCUUGAUGUGUAGGAUAGGUGGGAGGCUUUGAAGUGUGGACGCCAGUCUGCAUGGAGCCAACCUUGAAAUACCACCCUUUAACGUUUGAUGUUCUAACCUAGGCCCAUAAACUGGGUCGGGGACCGUGUCUGGUGGGUAGUUUGACUGGGGCGGUCUCCUCCUAAAGAGUAACGGAGGAGCACGAAGGUUGGCUAAGCAUGGUCGGACAUCAUGCGGUUAGUGCAAAGGCAUAAGCCAGCUUGACUGCGAGAGUGACGGCUCGAGCAGGUACGAAAGUAGGUCUUAGUGAUCCGGUGGUUCUGAAUGGAAGGGCCAUCGCUCAACGGAUAAAAGGUACUCCGGGGAUAACAGGCUGAUACCGCCCAAGAGUUCAUAUCGACGGCGGUGUUUGGCACCUCGAUGUCGGCUCAUCACAUCCUGGGGCUGAAGUAGGUCCCAAGGGUAUGGCUGUUCGCCAUUUAAAGUGGUACGCGAGCUGGGUUUAGAACGUCGUGAGACAGUUCGGUCCCUAUCUGCCGUGGGCGUUGGAAGAUUGAGAGGGGUUGCUCCUAGUACGAGAGGACCGGAGUGAACGCACCACUGGUGUUCGGGUUGUCAUGCCAAUGGCAUUGCCCGGUAGCUAAGUGCGGAAGAGAUAACCGCUGAAAGCAUCUAAGCGGGAAACUUGCCUCGAGAUGAGUCUUCCCUGUCGCUUUAAGCGACCUAAAGGAACGUUUAAGACUAAGACGUUGAUAGGCUGGGUGUGUAAGCGUAGCGAUACGUUGAGCUAACCAGUACUAAUGAACCGUGAGGCUUAACCUG